ACAUAAUAUUUUUUACAUGCUUUAUGGUCCGUUUCACACCGCCGGAGUCGGGGAUGCAGCUGAAAGAAGGCUCAAAUACUCAUACACGCUACAGUAUUUCAUUACCAAAGGGCAUAAUAAAGUGUAAUGGUUUCAUCCAUUAUAUUCUCAAAGUUUUGUAUAAUAUCACUGCCCUAUCUAGACAACUAUAUCUGACUUUUGAGUAUUCCGUUACAUUAAUAAGUCUGUUCAUUUAUGCAUUCACAAAUUUUUUGCUAAUUGUCCUUCCUGCAUUUGGCAGCUUCAACCGUGCUAUUUUUAUUCUGGAUUAUAUGUUUAACUUCUAUUUGUCUAAUAUUAUAGUUUGCUCCUCUUCUGUAAAAUGUGACGCUCUGCUGACAGUAGACUUGUCCAUGUUUGCAAUUGCGCUCAUAGCCAGAUUGAGAAACCCUGGGUUGAUUUACCGAGUUGAUAACCACCGUCAUAGGACCGCUUAGCGAGAUCAUGGUUGUUAGGGUUAGUUAAGCCAGAUAACGAGAAGAUACCCUGGGUAUGUUGAAUUUGCUUCUCAGUACAGACCUCUGCUGUGGUGCUUGUGUGUGAUAUGCUGCAGAUGAGCUUGGCUGAUUGGCUGAGUGGAUGAUUGCUCCGGGAAGCUGAUUGGUUCCAGCCUCCAAGCUUGAGGUUUAAAGGGCCGGCUUCCCUCAGGCCAUGUGGGCUUACUUCUCUCCAAUUCCAGCCAGACUGCUUACUUUAAAAUGACAAAGUGUAUAUAUAUGUAUAUAUAUAUAUAUACACACAGUAUACUGUAUAGUGUAUGUUUAUAUAUACAGUAUACUGUAUAUAUAUAGGGUGACUUAUUUACCAUAUUAUGUAACUCUAACAUUUGUUGCAGCUAAUUGUGGCUAAUCCAAUGUUAGAAAACAAACACUCAUGUAAAGCUAAACUAUACAGCUCUAUCCAUAGAUGUAACAUUACAAAACGGGAACUUAAGAUAUUGUAACAUGUCAGUAACACUUGUUGUUAAUUUUGUUUGACUGUGUGUCAUCUUUUCUUUAACCCCCCUCAUGGAGGUAGAGGAGGGAGGGGGUUGAAGCCCUCUCAUUCAGCAACUCAAUUUCUAUUACUGAAUAAAUCUUACACACGCAAAAUCAAAGUUCCCUCCUCACUAAUUUCAGAGUUCCUUACUUUGCACGAAACAGA